rnacentral:antisense_RNA from 1 species
UCUAUGGUGGGCUGGACAAGGGAGCCGAAAGGCUCGCCGUUUUCCUCGUGCAACGGUACUGAGAACCUUGUUCAGUUCAUCACCA